rfam:Gossypium arboreum cultivar AKA8401 contig_50525_1, whole genome shotgun sequence.
UGUUAAAAGUUUCAUCCAUUUAUGCUGUUAAAAACUGAUGUGAUUGAUAGAAUAAUUAGACACUGACAUGGUGUGCCAUGUGUAUCUCAUAUUGAUGUACAAAAUCUAGUUUUUAACCGUAAAAAUGGAUGGAAAUUUUAACA